GCUGGACGUGCUGGUGCAUGUCUGUAGCCCCAGGUAUUUAGGAGGCUGAGGUGGGAGGAUUGCUUGAGCCCAGGAGGUUGAGGCUGCAGUGAACCAUGAUGGUGCCACUGCACUCCAGCCUGGGUGACACAGCAAGAUCCUGUCUCAA
ensembl:misc_RNA Metazoa_SRP Metazoan signal recognition particle RNA